rnacentral:tRNA from 18 species
GCCGAAGUGGCGGAACUGGCAGACGCGCACGUUUGAGGGGCGUGUGGGGCAACCCGUGGGGGUUCGAGUCCCCCCUUCGGCACCA